rnacentral:rRNA from 1 species
UUAGUUGCCAUCAUUCAGUUGGGCACUCUAGCGAGACUGCCGGUAAUAAACCGGAGGAAGGUGGGGAUGACGUCAAAUCAUCAUGCCCCUUAUGACCUGGGCUACACACGUGCUACAAUGGUUGGUACAACGAGUUGCGAGUCGGUGACGGCGAGCUAAUCUCUUAAAGCCAAUCUCAGUUCGGAUUGUAGGCUGCAACUCGCCUACAUGAAGUCGGAAUCGCUAGUAAUCGCAGGUCAGCAUACUGCGGUGAAUACGUUCCCGGGCCUU